rnacentral:misc_RNA from 1 species
AAGUCGUAACAAGGUUUCCGUAGGUGAACCUGCGGAAGGAUCAUUAACAGUGCUCUUUGUAUGCAAAUACAAAUCAUUAACAACCAUGUGUGAACCGUUUUGACUGCCCAAAUGUGCGGGUACCCUCUGGGGUAUGGCUGCACGUUUUUUACCACAACAAUACGUCCUUUAGUACUGAAUAGUAAAGCUUGGUUGAAAAACUUGCAAAACUUUUAGCAAUGGAUCUCUAGGCUCUU